rnacentral:rRNA from 2 species
GGGUUGUGAGGUUAAGCGACUAAGCGUACACGGUGGAUGCCCUGGCAGUCAGAGGCGAUGAAGGGCGUGCUAAUCUGCGAUAAGCGCCGGUAAGGUGAUAUGAACCGUUAUAACCGGCGAUACCCGAAUGGGGAAACCCAGUGUGAUUCGUCACACUAUCAUUAACUGAAUCCAUAGGUUAAU